rnacentral:tRNA from 1 species
GCCCAGGUGGCGGAAUUGGUAGACGCACUAGUUUCAGGGACUAGCGCCGCGAGGCGUAGGGGUUCAAGUCCCCUCCUGGGCA